GGGUAGUGAAAAAUGAGUUAUAUCUGAUGAAAUUUAGCCACGAAUCGGCAGAAGUUCUGGCAGCAGUUCGACAUGUAUAUGAUUUCUUCAGGACACAUUGAAAAAUCGGAUGACACGAAAAUCGUCUUUUUAUUCAACAUUGCUGGUAUUAAAUUUAUUGAAAUAUUUAAUAUGUUCACGUUCGACCUAUAGCAACAUGGAAGAACUUUUUGUGGAAUUGGUAACAAAAAAACAAUUGUAACAAUGAAAAAGAAAGCAUUGGCUACAUAACUGCUGGUAAGCUAAUAUUUUGUUAUAAUAUAGAAGAGUUGAUAAUCGAGUUGUGCUGUAUAAAAUCGGCACGUGUACUUUCCUCCAGCAUUUUCAUUUAUGUAUCUACUUUUAUUAACUUUUC